rnacentral:rRNA from 1 species
GACGAACGCUGGCGGCGUGCUUAACACAUGCAAGUCGAACGGUGACGGAGAGCUUGCUCUCCUGAUCAGUGGCGAACGGGUGAGUAACACGUGGGCAACCUGCCCCAGACUUCGGGAUAACGCUUCGAAAGAGGUGCUAAUACCGGAUACGAGCUCCUUGGGCAUCCUUGGAGUUGGAAAGUUUUUCGGUCUGGGAUGGGCCCGCGGCCUAUCAGCUAGUUGGUGAGGUAACGGCUCACCAAGGCGACGACGGGUGGCCGGCCUGAGAGGGCGACCGGCCACACUGGGACUGAGACACGGCCCAGACUCCUACGGGAGGCAGCAGUGGGGAAUAUUGCGCAAUGGGCGAAAGCCUGACGCAGCAACGCCGCGUGAGGGAUGAACGGCC